GACGAACGCUGGCGGCGUGCCUAACACAUGCAAGUCGAGCGGUCCGGCACUCAACUAAGUGCUUACUUAAGGGGAAGGAAGUAUAGUAGAAGAAGAAGGUAAUAAAAGUGAUGCAAAGUAAGGUAAGCGCGGAGUUGAGUGCCGGAUAGCGGCGGACGGGUGAGUAACGCGUGGGCAACCUACCCUUAAGACCGGGAUAACACCUCGAAAGGGGUGCUAAUACUGGAUAAGCUCCUUGUAGGGCAUCCUAUGGGGAGGAAGGUAGCGGAAGCUACCGCUUAAGGAUGGGCCCGCGUCCCAUCAGCUAGUUGGUAGGGUAACGGCCUACCAAGGCGACGACGGGUAGCCGGCCUGAGAGGGUGGUCGGCCACACUGGGACUGAGACACGGCCCAGACUCCUACGGGAGGCAGCAGUGGGGAAUCUUGCGCAAUGGGCGAAAGCCUGACGCAGCGACGCCGCGUGAGCGAAGAAGGCCUUCGGGUCGUAAAGCUCGAUAGUGUGGGAAGAAUAGAUGACGGUACCACCG
rnacentral:rRNA from 1 species